ensembl:miRNA Mir741 microRNA 741
UUGAUCUACGUAGAUUGGUACCUAUCAUGUAAAUCAUGUAAGCAUGAGAGAUGCCAUUCUAUGUAGAUUAA